AGAAAGACUGAGUUAAUAGUUUGGUUGUAUGGAAAAUUAAAAUAAAAACUAAUGCUUUAAAUCUAAGUGUUAAUGUUUUUCUCAUGAGGUUUAGGGGUUAAGUUGGUGGCCAAAUAUUUAUUUAUUUCCCUUUCCAAUCUGGAUGUGCCCACCAUUUUAUUUCUAGAACAUAUUCAGGGAUGAUAUUUUAGACACUCAAAAUACAUGUUCUGAUUUUGAAUGGAUACUUCUUUUCUUUGAAAAUGAUUUAUUAAACAUCUUGUUGCUUUAACCUUGAACUUUUGUUUUUAUUACAACUAGAUUUUAUAUGGAUCUUUUUACUCUGUAAGAUGUUGUUGGGUAUUUUUUUUAUUUUCUAUUUUUUUAUUGGAAAUAGAUUUUUUCAUGCAAUCUAUUCUGAUUUCAAUUUCCCCCAACUCCAUUCAGAUCUUUCCCAAUUCCCUUCCUACAAAUCCAUUCCCUCCUUCCCUCCCUUUGUCUCAUUAGAAAAAUGGGCAUCUAAAAAUAAUAAUAAGAUAAAAUAAGUUUUAUUUUAAUAUCUAUCUUGUAAUGAACUUCCUAUUUAUUUCUUGUGAUAUAUAUGUUAUUUAUAGAUCAUUUUUAAGUAUAUAAAUGCUCCAGUUAUUUUCCCCUAUUCUUCUUUCUUUAGGACUCUUAUAGUGUCCCAAAACAAAACAGUAAACAUUCUAAAAUAAAAUAGAU
rnacentral:lncRNA from 1 species